rnacentral:rRNA from 1 species
AAAGGAAUAGACGGGAACCCGCACAAGCGGAGGAGCGCGUGGUUUAAUUCGACGGCAAUCGAAGAACCUUACCAGGGUUUGAAAUGUAUCUGCAUACCUUAUGAAAAUAGGGUAGCCUUCGAGGGUGAUACACAGGUGCUGCAUGGCCGUCGUCAGCUCGUGUCGUGAGAUGUAGGGUUAAGUCCCGAAACGAGCGCAACCCCUAUCCUAUGUUACAAGUGUCUUAGGAAACCGCUUCGGUAAAACGGAGAGGAAGGUGGGGAUGACGUCUGGUCCGCAUAGCCCUUAUGUCCUGGGCUACACACACGCUACAAUGGCCAAUACAAUGGGAAGCCAAGCCGCAAGGCGGAGCUAAUCCUUUAAAGUUGGUCUCAGUUCGGAUUGAGGUCUGCAACUCGACCUCAUGAAGUCGGAUUCGCUAGUAAUCGUGAAUCAGCCAUGUCACGGUGAAUACGUUCUCGGGUUUUGCACACACCGCCCGU